rnacentral:misc_RNA from 1 species
AACGCAUCUUGCGCUCUUUGGCAUUCCGAAGAGCAUGCCUGUUUGAGUGUCGCAAACCUCUCACGCCCCCGGGUAUUCGUAUCCGCGCCGGGCUGUGGACCGUGGCCGUCUGGUCGGUGCUCUGCGCCGGCCCGGCCGAAAUGCAUGCGGAGCGCCUCUGCUGCCGCGACGACCGAGCGUUGUAGACCCCUCGCUUGGCUUGUCGUAGUGCGCAGGCUCCUAAACAUUAUUAAUUCGACCUCAAAUCAGGUAGGACUACCCGCUGAACUUAA